rnacentral:rRNA from 1 species
UCCUGGCUCAGGAUGAACGCUGGCAGCAUGGAUAACCCUUGCAAGUCGUCCGUCCAAUUUUUUGGAUUUUAUUUUUCCAUCUAAAAUGUUUGAAUUAAAAUCCGGCAAUUUGGACGGAGGCAAACGGGCUAGUAACAGGUGAGAAUCUACCCCAAAGUAUGGAAUAACCCGGAGAAAUCCGGGAUAAUACCGUAUGUGCUCGCCUAACUUUUUAGAUGUUAAUAAAAAAUUAUCUGUUUUGAUUAAUAUUUAAAAAAUUAAGCGAGUAAAGAUUUCGGUCGCUUUGGGAGGAGCUCGCUUACUAUCAGCUUGUUGGUAGGGUAAUGGCCUACCAAGGCUAUGACGGUUAGGGGGUGUGAGAGCAUGACCCCCAGCAUUGGCACUGAAACACUGGCCAAACACCUACGGGUGGCUGCAGUCGAGAAUCUUCCACAAUGGGGGAAACCCUGAUGGAUCGAUGCUGCUUGCGGAAUGAAAGCCUUCGGGUUGUAAACCGCUUUUGUAGGGGACGAAAUUUUUGACGGUACCCUUUCGAAUAAGAGGUUGCUAACUCUGUGCCAGCAGCAGCGGUAAUACAGAGACCUCAAGCGUUAUCCGGAUUUACUGGGCGUAAAGCGUCUGUAGGGGGUUUAUUAAGUUCCAAGUAAAAUUUCAAGGCUCAACUUUGAAUUCGCUUGGAAAACUAAUAAACUGGAGUCUAGCAGAGGUGCAUGGAACUUGUGGUGCAGGAGUGAAAUCCGUUGAUAUCACAAGGAACACCAAAGGCGAAGGCAUUGCACUGGGCUAGCACUGACCCUGAGAGACGAAAGCGUGGGGAGCAAAACGGAUUAGAUACCCGUGUAGUCCACGCCCUAAACGAUGAAUGCUAAAUGUUCGGGGAUUCGACCCCCUGGGUGUUACAGCUAACGCGUUAAGCAUUCCGCCUGGGAAGUACGGCCGCAAGGCUAAAACUCAAAGGAAUAGACGGGGAUCCGCACAAGCGGUGGAGCGUCUGGUUUAAUUCGACAGUAAGCGUGGUACCUCACCAGGGUUUGACAUCCCUUGACAGCCUUGGAAACAAGGUUUCCUUCGGGCAAGGUGACAGGUGCUGCAUGGUCGUCGUCAGUUCGUGCCGUGAGGUGUUCCGUUAAGUCGGGAAACGAACGAAACCCCUAUUGCAUGUUACAAUUUCUCAUGCAAGACUGCCCGGAUAUACUGGGAGGAAGGUGGGGAUGACGUCAGAUCUGCAUGGUCCUUAUACCCUGGGCGACACAGGCGCUACAAUGGCAGAGACAAAGGGUUGCAAAACCGCAAGGUGAAGCUAAUCCCAAAAACUUUGUCUAAGUUCGGAUUGAAGGCUGCAAUUCGCCUUCAUGAAGCUGGAAUCGCUAGUAAUCGUGAAUCAGCCACGUCACGGUGAAUAUGUUCCCGGAUC